AUCUAUGGCCAUACUACCCUGAAUGCACCCAAUCUCUUCUGAUCUCAGAAGCUAAAGCAGGGUCGGGGCUGGUUAGUAUUUGGAUGGGAGAAUCUUUAUCUCAUGUAGCAGCAUCCUUAAAGA
ensembl:rRNA 5S_rRNA 5S ribosomal RNA